AUGACUGGAAAGAUGAUCAUCUCUGCUGUGUACUACUGUGCUUCUGGAAGAACAAACUGUGUUAAAUUUGAACAGCCGCCAUCUCUUUUUGCCAAAGAACAUGACAGUGUAACAAUCAAGUGCAGCCACGAUGACAAUAGCUUGUUAUAUAUGCUGUGGUAUCAGCGAAAGAGUGACAGUACAAAUAUGAACUUUAUUGGCUACCGCUACAUCUCAGGUGAUGCUGUAAAAGAAGAGGGUUUUAAGGAACGAUUUGAUCUGAAGAGAGAUGGAGAUGUAAAAGGAGAUCUGAUCAUCUCUAAACUCGUCUCGUCUGAUUCUGCUGUUUAUUACUGUGCAGCAAGAGAACACAGUGCUGCAGAUUAA